UAGGGAAUCUUCGGCAAUGGGGGCAACCCUGACCGAGCAACGCCGCGUGAGUGAAGAAGGUUUUCGGAUCGUAGAGCUCUGUUGUAAGAGAAGAACGUGUGUGGGAGUGGAAAGUUCACACAGUGACGGUAACUUACCAGAAAGGGACGGCUAACUACGUGCCUG
rnacentral:rRNA from 1 species